AUUCUCUCCAACCGGAGAGGUGGAAAACGUUUGAGGACUAAGGAGAACCCCCCCACCCCGAAAGAAAACAACAAAAACAAACCCAGCAGUGCUUCGUGGACGUUGCAGCGCACCAUGAGAACACGACAACUACCAACAAGAUGUUAUUUAUGAUAGCCUUGAUCCACGGCGCUUUGGAGUCAGAAGAGAUACCCCCCGAUGCUUCCUUUCUUUUUGGACCUCACAGGUCUCGUGCAUGCUCUUCGGAAGUGAUGAUGGGAGGAGCUGGCAUGGACCGCUGUGUCUAAAUGAAGUGGUUCAGCCAUGCAAUGUUCCUGGA
rnacentral:lncRNA from 1 species